AGAUGCUCCCAGGCUCUCCCGCAGUUUAAAGACUUAACUCAGCGGCUUUCAGGGCCUGUGGUUGAGGGACUCCGAAAGAACUGUUGCUGGUGGACCGGUUCAGGGUCUUGACUUCGCCACACAAAAGAACUUGAGAGCACGUCCAAAGUAAAGCUAAGACCUCUAGUACAGUGUUCAAUGGAACUGGUGAGAAAAGACGUCCUUGCUGUGUUCCUGAUAUGAAGAGGAAAGCAGUCCUUCUCCAUUAAGUAAAAUGCUGACAACAUGAGCCUCCCGUGGUCGGAACGGGCUUGUGAAGGCGGUGCUGGGGUGCACCAGGGCAGCAGCUACAGAAUGCACCAGCUGGAGUCGACAUUAAAGGGCCCCAUUUCCCAUUUGCUGCAGAAGAUGUUUAAUUGGAAGUCUCUCCCUGUCCUUUUACCCUCUGGUGCUGGGCACCAAUGAGAAGCUCAUCUGGCCCCGGGAUCCUGGCAGGACACUGGGAGCACUAUUUCCAUGGGCAGCAGGGUUGUUCCUGGAGACAUCACUGACCCAGGACACCUAGCACAAUGGCACUCGAUGUGAAAGUGGCUUCGUACAAAUCUGCCACUCAAGCCUAAAUAAGUGCAUUCCAGAAGAGCCGCAGCCCCUCUAACAGCUCCUGAGGUGAGGGAAACCCUAGGGAUGGGAAGUUGGAGCAGAAAGAGAUGGUGGCCUGAAGUCAACUGCAGUGAAAAUCUCUCCCCAUCAGCAAGUUUUGCAAAGCUAUGGCCACAGGGACACAUGACUGGGGCCCCUCCUAGUCUUGGAAGGAGCCCCCAUGGAAAUGAGGGCCUCACAGUGAAUCCACCUCUGAUCCUACUUCACCUGCAGUCAAAUGAGAAGAGAUUUCAAUCAGCUAAAGACACCCUAUCCCCUCUCCCCGACCCCUGCGACCCCAGGAGCUCCUGCCUUGUCACUGUGUCCCCAAACGAACCGCAUCUGAAUCAAGCCCCUUUCUCUCCCUAGUGGUCAACAUCUGGGCUGUGAUGGGCAGCUCCCACUCUUGCCUUAGAAUAUGACUGGAGAGGUGACUUCUCAUCACAUGGAGAAUAUGUUCACCCCAUGGUGCUUUCCACCCAAGCUGACCAUGGCUUGACUUUUUGGUGUAGUUGCUAGCUCUGUGCCAUCCUUGGCAAUGUGACCCUGGAGCAGCUGUCCCCAGUGUGCAUUUGGGGGAUUUCAUGUAAUUAUGAAUAGGAUGCAAAUUUUAUAGCCCCAGUGAAGGGAAACACCCCUGGCGAGGCUUCCCGGGGCCAGAGAGAGGACUCCACUGAGGGAGAUGGUGGCAGGGCCAUUCUUUGUGUCCUGCUUUUUUUUUUUUUUUUUUUUUUAACAUCCUCUUUAUGUCCUGAGAGCCAUGUGCAGAUGAGGAAAAAUGACAUGCAAUGCAUUUUUGCCUGCCACAAUGACUUUGCAAUCAUAACAAGCAAAAUGUUCUAAACAGUAAGUGAAUCGAGGAAGAUAUACUGCCAAGUCAGGAAGAAAAAAUCCACCUGUUCAGUGAUUUCAGGAACUGCUGAAGAAAAUCACCAGUGAGUAUCAGUUUCUGCAAGAGAAUCUAAUGCAGGCUUUGCUUCUCAUCGGAAUCCCCCAGCUGGUGUCUUGGUUGACUGAGAGUCUGGGGGAGAGGGCAGAGAAUGGAUUUAUUCUCUGCUAGGUUUUUAACAGUCAAGAAGGGCUGUGGUCCUAAGGGGCACUGGUCAAACCUUAGUGUGCAUCAGAAUUAUCUGGAUAAGGCUAGGCACAGUGGCUCACGCCUGUAAUCACAGCACUUUGGGAGGCUGAGGCGCGUGGAUCACCUGAGGUCAGAAGUUCAAGACCAGCCUGGCUCUUUUAGUAGAGAAACCCUAUGUCUAUUAAAAAGUACAAAAUUUAGCCAGGUGUGGUGGUGAGUGCCUGUAAUCCCAGCUACUUGGGAGGCUGAGGCAGGACAGUCACUUGAAUCUAGGAGGCAGAGGUUGCAGUGAACUGAGAUCGUGCCAUUGUGCUCCAGCCUGGGCAACAAGAGUGAAACUCUAUCUC
rnacentral:lncRNA from 10 species